UGGGGAAUAUUGCACAAUGGGCGCAAGCCUGAUGCAGCCAUGCCGCGUGUGUGAAGAAGGCCUUCGGGUUGUAAAGCACUUUCAGCGGGGAGGAAGGCGUUAAGGUUAAUAACCUUGGCGAUUGACGUUACCCGCAGAAGAAGCACCGGCUAACUCCGUGCCAGCAGCCGCGGUAAUACGGAGGGUGCAAGCGUUAAUCGGAAUUACUGGGCGUAAAGCGCACGCAGGCGGUCUGUCAAGUCGGAUGUGAAAUCCCCGGGCUCAACCUGGGAAAUGCAUUCGAAACUGGCAGGCUAGAGUCUUGUAGAGGGGGGUAGAAUUCCAGGUGUAGCGGUGAAAUGCGUAGAGAUCUGGAGGAAUACCGGUGGCGAAGGCGGCCCCCUGGACAAAGACUGACGCUCAGGUGCGAAAGCGUGGGGAGCGAACAGG
rnacentral:rRNA from 1 species